rnacentral:rRNA from 1 species
UUAUUAUAGCAAAGAGGAUACACCUGUUCCCAUACCGAACACAGAAGUUAAGCUCUUUAGCGGCAAUGGUACUUGGUGGGCAACUGCCUGGGAGAGUAG